UACGGAGGGGGCUAGCGUUGUUCGGAAUUACUGGGCGUAAAGCGCACGUAGGCGGAUAGUCAAGUCGGGGGUGAAAUCCCGGGGCUCAACCCCGGAACUGCCUUCGAUACUGGCUGUCUGGAGGUCGAGAGAGGUGAGUGGAAUUCCGAGUGUAGAGGUGAAAUUCGUAGAUAUUCGGAGGAACACCAGUGGCGAAGGCGGCUCACUGGCUCGAUACUGACGCUGAGGUGCGAAAGCGUGGGGAGCAAACAGG
rnacentral:rRNA from 1 species